rnacentral:rRNA from 1 species
AGAGUUUGAUCAUGUCUCAGAACGAACGCUGGCGGCAGGCCUAACACAUGCAAGUCGAGCGCCCCGCAAGGGGAGCGGCAGACGGGUGAGUAACGCGUGGGAAUCUACCCAUCCCUACGGAACAACUCAGGGAAACUUGAGCUAAUACCGUAUACGCCCUUCGGGGGAAAGAUUUAUCGGGGAUGGAUGAGCCCGCGUUGGAUUAGCUAGUUGGUGAGGUAAUGGCUCACCAAGGCGACGAUCCAUAGCUGGUCUGAGAGGAUGAUCAGCCACACUGGGACUGAGACACGGCCCAGACUCCUACGGGAGGCAGCAGUGGGGAAUAUUGGACAAUGGGCGCAAGCCUGAUCCAGCCAUGCCGCGUGAGUGAUGACGGCCCUAGGGUUGUAAAGCUCUUUCAACGGUGAAGAUAAUGACGGUAACCGUAGAAGAAGCCCCGGCUAACUUCGUGCCAGCAGCCGCGGUAAUACGAAGGGGGCUAGCGUUGUUCGGAAUUACUGGGCGUAAAGCGCACGUAGGCGGACUGAUAAGUCAGGGGUGAAAUCCCGGGGCUCAACCCCGGAACUGCCUUUGAUACUGUCAGUCUAGAGUUCGAGAGAGGUGAGUGGAAUUCCGAGUGUAGAGGUGAAAUUCGUAGAUAUUCGGAGGAACACCAGUGGCGAAGGCGGCUCACUGGCUCGAUACUGACGCUGAGGUGCGA